rnacentral:lncRNA from 1 species
CUUGUACGACGUUCCUGAACUCCCCCGACCGUUCGAACUUCCACAGUACCGUUCGAACUCCUCCAGCAGUCGACCUUCCACAGUGUCCUCCAGAUUCCUCCAACGGACGAACUCCUAUCGUGCCAUCCAGACUUCUCCAAUAAUUAGCUCCUUUAUUCUUCUGUCGGACUGCUCCAAAUGCUCUCUGGGCUUCACUAUCAGUCGAUUUUUUAUAGUGAUCGACUACUCUCUGAAUCUCUUCCAGACUUCCUCCUGUCAUGAUCGAUU